UGCCAGCCUCCGCGGUACUACUAAUUGGGCUAGCGUUGUUCGGAAUCACUGGGCGUAAAGCGUAUGUAGGCGGAUCAAAAAGUUAGAUGUGAAAUCCCUGGGCUCAACCCAGGAACUGCAUUUAAAACUAGUGAUCUAGAAAUUGGUAAGGGUUAGUAGAAUUUCCAGUGUAGAGGUGAAAUUCGUAGAUAUUGGAAAGAAUACCAGAAGCGAAGGCGACUAACUAGGCCAUUUUUGACGCUGAGAUACGAAAGCGUGGGUAGCAAACAGGAUUAGAUA
rnacentral:rRNA from 1 species